GGUUGUAGCUCAGUGGUAGAGUGCUUGUCUAGCACAUGUGAGGCACUGGGUUUGAUCCUCAGGAUCA
rnacentral:tRNA from 1 species